CCACUGGCGUAGCCAACCCACCAAAUAAUAGCAAGUCUCAGCCUCUCAGGGUUCUCUUUCUUUCUCGCCUUUCAGAUACCCCUUCUCUUACCGCCGAUUGGUGGAUAAGAAGGUCGUCGCCCGACUCCGGUAGUGUUUGUUUCUGCCAAGAGCUGAACCUCCACUUCCAGCAGGUUUGUUGUUCCUUCCGUAAGAAUCAAAACAUUUCGGAGAGGUUCUCACCCACUUCCGCUUCAAGGUGUGCUUAAAUUCUUCUCAGCGUGUUCAUUGGAUUCAUAUUCUUUAGGUUAGACUACUGGAGGAUUUUUUUUUUCCAAUUGAUUUUCAAAGAAUCAGUGCUGAGUAUCAAGAGAGAAUGUCAGCAAGAAAUCGCGGACCUCCUCUACCAAUGAAAGGUGUCCCUCAUGGUGGGCUACCUCCUCCUAGUCAGGAACAUCUGCUUGGUAGAGGUCUUGGACCAAUGCCACAUCCUGCACUGCUUGAGGAAAUGAGAGAAUCCCAAUUCAGGAUGGGUCCCAGGGCAUUGCCCCCUCAUCCAGCCAUCAUUGAGGAGCGUCUUGCAGCCCAACAUAAUGAAAUCCAAGGGCUCCUGCUUGAUAACCAGAGACUGGCGGCAACCCAUGUUGCUCUUAAGCAGGAAUUAGAAGUUGCCCAGCAUGAGUUGCAGCGGAUGGGUCACUUUGCUGGUUCCUUGCACGCGGAAAAGGACAUUCAGAUGCGAGAAAUGUAUGAGAAGUCGAUCAAAAUGGAAAUGGAUCUUCGUGGGGUGGAGGCCAUGAAGAAUGAGCUUUUGCAAUUGCAGGCUGAUAUUAAGGAGCUCAGUGCACUGAGGCAGGAUCUUACUGGUCAAGUUCAAGCACUGAAUCAAGAUUUGGUUAGAGCAACUGGUGAUCUGCAACAGGCACCAGCACUGAAGGCAGAAAUCGAGACUAUGAAACAUGAAUUGCAGAGAGCGAGGGCUGCCAUUGAGUAUGAAAAGAAAGGAUAUGCAGAGAAUUAUGAGCAUGGUCAGUUAAUGGAGAAGAAUUUGGUUGCAAUGGCUCGGGAGAUGGAAAAGCUUCGUGCAGAGAUUGCGAAUGCAGAGAAGAGAGCACGUGCUGCUGCUGCUGUUGGGAAUCCAGGUUAUAGUGCAAAUUAUGGCAAUCCUGAUGCUGGUUAUGGAGGAAAUGCUUAUCCGGCCGGUUAUGGCAUGAAUCCUGCUGGUGCGGAAAGCUUUCCUCAAUAUGGACAUGGACCAGGUUCAUGGGGUGGAUAUGACAUGCAACGAGCUCAAGGACAUAGAUAGAUUAUUUUGCGUAUCGUCUUAGCUGCGGUCUUCUGGUCUCACAUUUUGGAUGCCUGCACACUGGUUAUCACCAUAUAUUUGACAAUUUGUACCUUCAGCCAUUAUGUAUUGAUAUCUGAAAUUCAUGAGCUACGCCUGUUGUUGAUUGGGCAGAAGAUGAGGAAUGACUUGAAAUUGUUUGCCUUCUUCCUGCUUCUGCAUAAAUGGUUGUGGCAGGCAGGCAGGCAUUUGUUGAGAUGGGCAUUGCAAGGCGUACUUAGCCAUGAUAGUUUGUUGACAAACACAGCCUUUUAUUAGUCUAUAGUUAAAAAUUAGUUUACAUCAUUAAUAAAAGGGUAAAAGACACUUAACUUGCUUGAGAUUUAAUAAGAAGACAUUCACUUUCCUUGUAUUUUUGCAAAAUGACGAGAGUUGGGGGAAGUUUAUGGAAUUUUUGAAACUUAAGGGAAGGUCUUUAUGAAAA